rnacentral:rRNA from 1 species
UACGUAGGGGGCAAGCGUUGUCCGGAAUCAUUGGGCGUAAGGCGCGUGUAGGCGGCCCGGUAAGUCCGCUGUGAAAGUCGGGGGCUCAACCCUCGAAUGCCGGUGGAUACUGUCGGGCUAGAGUGCGGGAGAGGCGAGUGGAAUUCCUGGUGUAGCGGUGAAAUGCGCAGAUAUCAGGAGGAACACCAAUUGCGAAGGCAGCUCGCUGGAACGUAACUGACGCUGAGACGCGAAAGCGUGGGGAGCAAACAGG